rnacentral:lncRNA from 1 species
UCCACUUCCUGCCCCCCGGCGCCCCCGACUGCGUCCUGCUGCGCUUCGUCUACAAGGCGGUGUCAGAGAGCAGUCCUGACCUACACACGGUGUACAAGUCAACAUGUCAACACAUACACCUACACAUGGCGGCCCUCAGCCUCCAUCUGGAGCUCAACGCUAUAGCCUCCAUCGUAGCCACCGCCCAGAAGUUCCAGGCGCGUCUACGUCAUCUCUCGGACACACGUCCGUCCUCGGUGACGUCAUCACGUCCUCCU